GUCUACAGCCAUGCUACCCCCAUGCCCAAUUCCAUCUGAUCUCGGAAGCUGAGCAAGGUCAGGCCUGGUUAGUACUUGAUGGGAGACCAUCUAGGAAGACCAGGUGCUGUAGAUG
rnacentral:rRNA from 1 species